AAGCACAUGUCAACAACCAGAGUGGGGCCAUGGUACCAAGACAGCCAGCUGCCUGGUCUGAAACGCCCUCUUAAAUCACUGCACCAGGACUAGAGGGAAGCGCUCCUCCCGCAGAUGGACAGGCUCAGGGGUGCCUCAGCCAAGGCAGAAACACAGGGGCCUGGAACAUCCUCUUGGGGACUGCGGUGUCUCCUCAAAGGAGAUCAUGCCGCUGAAUUACUAGCCUUCAUGCAGUACGAUCAUUUGUAUGAAUAACAACAAUAACAACAUAUUUACUGCCCAGGACCCAGGAGCGUACAGUUCUGAAAAUUCAUCAGGAUGUGAAUGGAAGUUGUGUUUCUAUGCAAGAAAUGCUGGCAGCUAGAACAUCUUUUUUUCUCUCAGCACAUCAACACUCCGCACCGCAAAUUACUGGCCUAGACCCCCUGCAGAAUCAGCUACCUUAAUGCUUUGGCUGCUAGUCUCUGUGGUUCAGGUUUUCUUGACAUGGUUUAGUUGGGUCCUCUGCUUCAGGGUCUCUCAUAAGGCUGCAAUCAAGGUGUCAGCCAGAACUGAGGUUUCUUCCAGAGGCUCAACUGGAAAAGUAUCUACUUGCAAGCUCACAUGGUUGUUGACAGGAUCAGAUCCUUACAAGGUAUUGGACCGAGGGCCUCAGUUCUUGACCAGCUGUUGGGCAGAGGAUGCCCUCAAUUUCUUGCCACUUCAGUAUUUCCGACUUGCUUCAUCAAAGCCAGUAAGGGAGAGAGUCAAUAGAAAGAGUGUGCUCACGAGAUGGAAGUCAUAAUCUGAUGUUUAUUAUCAUCAGUGUUGUCAUAUUCCAUUGUUUAGAGCAAGUUACUAGGCCUUGCCUGUACUCAAGGGGAGAGGAUUAUACAUGGACGUGAAUACCAGGAGGUGGAUGUCCUUGGGGGUCAUGUCAGAAAUUGCCUUCUACAUUCCCUAAGGUCCACUGUCCAGCAGCUUUAUCAAAAAUCUAAAGGGUGAUAUUUGUAUCCCCACAGGCUUGACUCCAGUGCCCAUUUCUUCAUUGGUUCUGAUCUCAGGACUGAAAAAAGAUGCUUUUUAUUGGGCCCCCUCAUGGCACCAAUACCCUCCCUGACAUUGCUCAACUCACAGUGGCACAAUCUCUCAGUGGCAAGGAAGCCCUGGCUGAUCAUGAAGCCCCUUUCUUGACUAUGCAUUUAUCCCAGUGUGAGGCAGGAUCUUGCUGGGGUAACCCUAACCUGUAGCCAAUAUGCACUGCACUUAUGCUCACAGGAACCUGAGAGAAUUCGCCCCAUAUCCUCAUCUGGGCCUGUGGUCUCACAUAACCACAUGCUAAGGCCAAAGGUAUACUUGUCAUGCCAGCUCUCAAGGGACAGAAAUACUAAAGACUCAUGCGACUCUGGAGGAAUGUCCCUGAUUGUGCGAUGCCAAAAUUCAAACUGUGUCUCAGUCACAGGAAAGCACUGAGAAGUGUGCCAUGUACUUAUCACCACAAAGGUCCUGUCCACACUGAAGCAAAUCCAAAGGAUAGGCUUCACUGAAUUACACAAGUCCCCCUGUGCUCGGGAAGCAUUCUCAAGUGCCACGUGUGAGAAAGUGACAUUUACACAUUGGGAAAGGGCUCCAGAGCUAAAUUGGAAGCAGCUAAGCAUCACUUGGGACAUUUGUACACCCCGUUCCUCUAAGACAUUGAAAUUAAUAGACUCUAAUAAAACAAGAGCUAAUUGUGUGUAAAGUGAAAGCUAUGUAAGCCCACCACAAGAGCAGAGACUGGGCUAUUAUUCCCUUAUUGCCAGGACCAGUAUAUCGCCAUAUGCAUAGGAUGUUUUAUAGAUAUGUAUUUAGUUGUUUGAUUGACUGCUAAGUGUUUGUUGUUUGGCUAUUAACAAUCUUUCCAGUUCUUCAUUUCACCUAUAUUACAAUACAUGUGAUUGUCAUGUAAUAAUUCUGUGCAGACAAGAAGUUAUUCUGUAGUUUUUUUAUUAUUUAAUAAAAAUCUGUAUCAAGAUUACCAAGAUGAGAACCUCAGCCAACAAAGGCUCAAUUGUAUGCAUAGGUUACAACAGCAUGUGGGGCUGAGUGCUAAGCAUUGUGCGUACAAAUAAAAAAAGAAGGUCUCAAGAGAAAUCUCACGUAGUUUCGAUUAUACCAUGGCUUAGUAAAUGCUAGACUUUUUGGUUAUAUACUGUUAGAAGAUACAGACCACUUCUCUAGGAAACUGUGCUACCUUGAAAUUUCAAGAAGCCAUGUCCUGUUUAUAGCAUUGCACUCAGCCUAGAGUUGGAUCGUCUUCCAUCUUCUAGAGCAAAGUUGUCCAAUUGAUGCUUCUGAGAUCAUGGAAAUAUUCUCUUCUGUGCUACUCAGUACUGCAGCCACUAGCCAUGGGUGGCUAUUGAGCACUUAAAAUGUGGCUAGUGAGAAUGAGGACUGAAUUUUUAAAUUAGAUUGAAUUAAACUUAAAUUACCACACGUGGCCACUGGCUACUAUAUCAGACAGCACAGUAGUGGAGAUUCGCUGCCCAGUACGGUCUGGGCACCAGCUGCUUUGGCAUCACCUGCUACAUUUUUACUAGAAAUGCAGAGUCACAGAUCUACAUACAGAAUCUGCAUUUUAACAAGAUUCCCAGGUGAUGUGCAUACUUCUCAGAAUUUAUGAAAUGCUUCUCUAAAAGAUUUCUUUAUAAAGUUGGCUCUGAUUUUUUUUUUUUUUGAACAAAGAAACUACAGACUAUACUAUUCCUCUAGUCCCCUUCUUAGAGAGAUACCAAGGUAGAGGAAUGACUCCUUUUAGGUACUACAAGGAGAGAACCUAUAUGAGAAUAGAUCCAAGUAGAACCUGAGUCUACAGACUGAAAAGAAAGUUGCCAUUUUUUGACCAUCUGACUCAAGCCUUACCUGAAGCCAGCCCUACACACUGUACUAGUCGUACAUUGGACACGUUGAUAAAUUACUCCUUUUGACUAAGGACUAGUCAGU